UACGCUUCUUUUUCCCCGGAGCUUGCUCCACCGGAAAAAGAAGAGUGGCGAACGGGUGAGUAACACGUGGGUAACCUGCCCAUCAGAAGGGGAUAACACUUGGAAACAGGUGCUAAUACCGUAUAACAAUCGAAACCGCAUGGUUUUGAUUUGAAAGGCGCUUUCGGGUGUCGCUGAUGGAUGGACCCGCGGUGCAUUAGCUAGUUGGUGAGGUAACGGCUCACCAAGGCCACGAUGCAUAGCCGACCUGAGAGGGUGAUCGGCCACAUUGGGACUGAGACACGGCCCAAACUCCUACGGGAGGCAGCAGUAGGGAAUCUUCGGCAAUGGACGAAAGUCUGACCGAGCAACGCCGCGUGAGUGAAGAAGGUUUUCGGAUCGUAAAACUCUGUUGUUAGAGAAGAACAAGGAUGAGAGUAACUGUUCAUCCCUUGACGGUAUCUAACCAGAAAGCCACGGCUAACUACGUGCCAGCAGCCGCGGUAAUACGUAGGUGGCAAGCGUUGUCCGGAUUUAUUGGGCGUAAAGCGAGCGCAGGCGGUUUCUUAAGUCUGAUGUGAAAGCCCCCGGCUCAACCGGGGAGGGUCAUUGGAAACUGGGAGACUUGAGUGCAGAAGAGGAGAGUGGAAUUCCAUGUGUAGCGGUGAAAUGCGUAGAUAUAUGGAGGAACACCAGUGGCGAAGGCGGCUCUCUGGUCUGUAACUGACGCUGAGGCUCGAAAGCGUGGGGAGCAAACAGGAUUAGAUACCCUGGUAGUCCACGCCGUAAACGAUGAGUGCUAAGUGUUGGAGGGUUUCCGCCCUUCAGUGCUGCAGCUAACGCAUUAAGCACUCCGCCUGGGGAGUACGACCGCAAGGUUGAAACUCAAAGGAAUUGACGGGGGCCCGCACAAGCGGUGGAGCAUGUGGUUUAAUUCGAAGCAACGCGAAGAACCUUACCAGGUCUUGACAUCCUUUGACCACUCUAGAGAUAGAGCUUCCCCUUCGGGGGCAAAGUGACAGGUGGUGCAUGGUUGUCGUCAGCUCGUGUCGUGAGAUGUUGGGUUAAGUCCCGCAACGAGCGCAACCCUUAUUGUUAGUUGCCAUCAUUUAGUUGGGCACUCUAGCAAGACUGCCGGUGACAAACCGGAGGAAGGUGGGGAUGACGUCAAAUCAUCAUGCCCCUUAUGACCUGGGCUACACACGUGCUACAAUGGGAAGUACAACGAGUCGCGAAGUCGCGAGGCUAAGCUAAUCUCUUAAAGCUUCUCUCAGUUCGGAUUGUAGGCUGCAACUCGCCUACAUGAAGCCGGAAUCGCUAGUAAUCGCGGAUCAGCACGCCGCGGUGAAUACGUUCCCGGGCCUUGUACACACCGCCCGUCACACCACGAGAGUUUGUAACACCCGAAGUCGGUGAG
rnacentral:rRNA from 1 species